rnacentral:rRNA from 1 species
GUGAGUGGCGAACUGGUGAGUAACACGUGGGAAACCUGCCCAGAAGCGGGGGAUAACACCUGGAAACAGAUGCUAAUACCGCAUAACAACUUGGACCGCAUGGUCCGAGUUUGAAAGAUGGCUUCGGCUAUCACUUUUGGAUGGUCCCGCGGCGUAUUAGCUAGAUGGUGGGGUAACGGCUCACCAUGGCAAUGAUACGUAGCCGACCUGAGAGGGUAAUCGGCCACAUUGGGACUGAGACACGGCCCAAACUCCUACGGGAGGCAGCAGUAGGGAAUCUUCCACAAUGGACGAAAGUCUGAUGGAGCAACGCCGCGUGAGUGAAGAAGGGUUUCGGCUCGUAAAACUCUGUUGUUAAAGAAGAACAUAUCUGAGAGUAACUGUUCAGGUAUUGACGGUAUUUAACCAGAAAGCCACGGCUAACUACGUGCCAGCAGCCGCGGUAAUACGUAGGUGGCAAGCGUUGUCCGGAUUUAUUGGGCGUAAAGCGAGCGCAGGCGGUUUUUUAAGUCUGAUGUGAAAGCCUUCGGCUCAACCGAAGAAGUGCAUCGGAAACUGGGAAACUUGAGUGCAGAAGAGGACAGUGGAACUCCAUGUGUAGCGGUGAAAUGCGUAGAUAUAUGGAAGAACACCAGUGGCGAAGGCGGCUGUCUGGUCUGUAACUGACGCUGAGGCUCGAAAGUAUGGGUAGCAAACAGGAUUAGAUACCCUGGUAGUCCAUACCGUAAACGAUGAAUGCUAAGUGUUGGAGGGUUUCCGCCCUUCAGUGCUGCAGCUAACGCAUUAAGCAUUCCGCCUGGGGAGUACGGCCGCAAGGCUGAAACUCAAAGGAAUUGACGGGGGCCCGCACAAGCGGUGGAGCAUGUGGUUUAAUUCGAAGCUACGCGAAGAACCUUACCAGGUCUUGACAUACUAUGCAAAUCUAAGAGAUUAGACGUUCCCUUCGGGGACAUGGAUACAGGUGGUGCAUGGUUGUCGUCAGCUCGUGUCGUGAGAUGUUGGGUUAAGUCCCGCAACGAGCGCAACCCUUAUUAUCAGUUGCCAGCAUUAAGUUGGGCACUCUGGUGAGACUGCCGGUGACAAACCGGAGGAAGGUGGGGAUGACGUCAAAUCAUCAUGCCCCUUAUGACUGGGCUACACCGUGCUACAAUGGAUGGUACAACGAGUUGCGAACUCGCGAGAGUAAGCUAAUCUCUUAAAGCCAUUCUCAGUUCGGAUUGUAGGCUGCAACUCGCCUACAUGAAGUCGGAAUCGCUAGUAAUCGCGGAUCAGCAUGCCGCGGUGAAUACGUUCCCGGGCCUUGUACACACCGCCCGUCACACCAU